rnacentral:rRNA from 1 species
UACGUAGGGGGGCAAGCGUUGUUCGGAAUUAUUGGGCGUAAAGAGCUCGUAGGCGCCAUGCGUGUCUUCCGUGAAAUCCCUCGGCUUAACUGAGGACGUGCGGAAGAAAACUGCAAGGCUCGAGUCCGGGAGAGGGGGGGUGGAAUUCCCAGUGUAGCGGUGAAAUGCGUAGAUAUUGGGAGGAACACCGGUGGCGAAGGCGGCCCCCUGGACCGGUACUGACGCUGAGGCGCGAAAGCGUGGGUAGCAAACGGGG